AUAARUAAUGUGAAUUGCAWAAUUCAGUGAAUCAUCGAAUCUUUGAACGCACAUUGCGCCCUUUGGUAUUCCUUAGGGCAUGCCUGUUCUAGCGUCACAAACAAACCCCUCACUUCUAUAUAGUGGUGCUGGCGGAAGUGGUGCCCGCGCAGGGGAUCGUCUCCCCCGCGGCCCACCCCACCGAAAUGCAUCGGGCGGACAAACCGAUCUCAGCAACUGACUUAGUAAAAUCAAUCAGCCAGGAGUUAGGUUACGUCUUGCCACCCAGCUUGGACCCCCAUCCAACUUGGUGCGACAAAUCAUGGGUUGACCUCGGAUCAGGUAGGGAUACCCGCUGAACUUAAGCAUAUCAAUAAGCGGAGGAGAAGAAACCAACAGGGAUUGCCCAGUU
rnacentral:rRNA from 1 species